AUGAUUGUCUUAAAUGCUUUUAGCUCUCUCUUACUUGGUUUUCUCUAACUUCUCUCUAAACCUUUCAACAAAAGAAAUCAGUUCUGGUGACUGGUGGCGUUGCCGCCGGUCACCAACCCCCUUUUAAUUUUUGUUCUUUGUCUGCAGAUAUCUUCGCUCGGCGAAUCUCUUCUUCCGCUUGUCGGAUUAAUAUUUCGCAAGGCGACUUUUAUUAUGUUUCUCGAUCUGUUUCAGCGCUUUGCUUCAAGUUCUUCUUUUAUCUCUGAUUUCCAGAUCGAUUAAUAAAAAUAGGGUUUGUAACUUGCUUUCCGCUUCGUUCUCAACUUCAUCCCGUUUGGUUACUGGGGCAAGAUCCUCAUUUAUCGCUCAGUCAAGAUUUCUUACCUUGAGAAUCAGCCUUCGUUUAUUAUUAUAGUCGUCUAUGCCUGUUACGAAGCAUCUCUAAUGGAAGAAUGAUGAGUUUUAUAGGAUGCCUUGAAUCUUGUAUGAAGUGAUUCAGCAGCACCGGCGUUUUCCGAAACGGUCCGACAAAGAAUCUUCUUUCAUCUUGAUUUAAGUAUCCUCCGGUAUAACUACGGUGAAUCAGGUUCUUUUUACUCAAGUACCCGCGGAUUAAAGUGGAAGGCGUUUCAUAUUUGGUAUCGGAACUCCCAAAUCGGAGAAUUGUUUUUAACUUUAUGGUGGAGCUAUACAGCGGAGAGAUAGAGUUGAAGAGGCGUUUUUGAGAAGCUGGUGGUGGCGUAGUUUGGCGGUGCGGCCAAGAGUACCGUUCAACACUCACGAGACACGUGUCCCAGAGACGUGGUUUUGAGUCGAUCGAUUCGUCAACGCGUGGCAAAGCUUUUGGAUGUUUCUUUAUUUGGGCUUUUAAUAUCUAGCGGGCUACUCUGUUGAUGUAUAUUAUAAAUUGAUACCAAAUGUAAUGCCCAAUGGGCUUAAUCAAUGAACUUAAGUUGACAAAAUAAAAAAAAGUCUUAAAUGCUUUUAGGA
rnacentral:lncRNA from 1 species